rnacentral:lncRNA from 1 species
UGGCUGUCACUUUGACUUUGUUGUCAGUUAAAAAAUCAAGUUCUAGACAGAAGGAAUGUAACUUUUUGGCCAUCCUCGCUUCUCUGCAGGUUUGGGCAGGGACAGCACUUCAGGAACAGUGGCUUCUCCCCGGAGUUGGCCUCAUUGCAGCAAAUCCCUGUGAGAGCGCUCAGGCCUCCGCCGUCUGCUGGACAGGAUGCGCCAGAGUGAGGGCGACCCUAACAGACGGAGAGGGAUACAAAGAGUCAGCCUGGGGAGGGCUGUUCCCAAGCCCUGAAAUACACCCACAGACUUCGUCAAAGCUGCAGAA